rnacentral:sRNA from 1 species
AUCUUGUCGGCGGGGACACGCCGAGGUAACUUCCAGGGCGCACCUUCGUUGUCUUCUCCAAGCUAUAGUUCUACGUCCCUACCUCUCUAUCAUACCACACUCUUCAGCGACCACGCAGGCACUUUCCCGGCCCCCAGUAUACCAUAAUUGAAGAAAAAUGAUGGAAGAGAGUGGAAUAGAGACAACACCACCUGGGACUCCUCCACCAAAUCCUGCAGGGCUGGCUGCUACUGCUAUGUCUUCUACCCCUGUUCCAUUAGGUACAUGUAGUCGUCUAACAUCUCAUGUGUUUUGAGAAUAGUGAAGAUACUGUCAUCUUUUCUCAGAGUCAAUUAAGAAAAGAAUGCAUAUAUUAAAACUUCUCUAUUAUUUUUCAGGAUGAAAGGAAAUAGCCUUUUUAAUUUAAAGAAUAGAAAGAAAGUCUUUUGUAUUUAAAGUAAGAAAACAUCAGUGUUUUCCUUUAGGUGGACUUUUGUUCUUUAUGUUCAUAAUUUUACCAUCAUUUAUAUUAUGACAGAAAUAUCCUAAAAAGCAUGUGUUAGCUUUGUCUUCAGUUCUUUUUCUUUUUUUUGAGACGGAGUUUCACUUGUCGCCCAGGCUGGAGUGCAGUGGUGCGAUCUCAUCUCACUGCAACCUCCGCCUCCCGGGUUCAAGUGAUUCUCCUGCCUCAGCCUCCCGAGUAGCUGCGAUUACAGUGCUCACC